rnacentral:rRNA from 1 species
UACUAACUCUGGCGGCGUGCUUAACACAUGCCAGUCGAACGGAAAUGCCCUGCUUUUGUGGGGUGCUCGAGUGGCGAACGGGUGAGUAACACGUGAGUAACCUGCCCUUGACUUUGGGAUAACUUCAGGAAACUGGGGCUAAUACCGGAUAGGAGCUCCUGCUGCAUGGUGGGGGUUGGAAAGUUUCGGCGGUUUGGGCUGGACUCGCGGCUUAUCAGCUUGUUGGUGGGGUAGUGGCUUACCAAGGCUUCGACGGGUAGCCGGCCUGAGAGGGUGACGGGCCACAGUGGGACUGAGAUACGGCCCGGACGCCUACGGGAGGCAGCAGUGGGGGACAGUGCGCGAUGGGCGGAAGGCGGAUGCAGCGACGCCGCGUGCGGGAUGACGGCCGUCGGGUUGUAAAACGCUUUCGCCGGUGACGAAGCGUGAGUGACGGUAAUGGGUAAAGAAGCACCGGCUAACUACGUG